GUCUGCACAGGGCGCGCGGGAUCCUUUACACCCAUGCCACAAACUACCACCAGGCAGUUGCAGGUCUCUUUGGUCCCAAACUAGCAGGCUCAGGAACAAUUUCUCUUCCCAUCCACUGUAACCCUGCUGAACUCUGUGACCCAGAGAACUCUGUGAACUCUGUGACCCAUCACGUACCAUACCCCCCGCCUCUCAGGGACCUUGUUGCACUAAUCCCUUGUACUACUCUGACACUCUGACACUGCCUUGCAAAUCCUGAUAAUGGAAGUUUUCAUUGGUUACAGGUAUGUGUCUACCUCAGGAACCUCACUGCUGCUAUCCCUGCAUUUCAGUUGCACAUGCAUCUUGUACAUUCAAUUUGCCAUUUUGUAUUGCCAUUGUUCUUGCAUUUUUACAGUUGUUACACACGUCUACCUCAAGGACCUAAGCGCUGCUAUCUCUGCAUCAUGGUUGCUCAUGCUACCAUACUACAUUACUCCUUCAUUUGCUUCGUUUGCACAUCUUGUAUGCCAUUUAGAAAUUGCCAUUUGUAUCUGUACAACUGUUAUCCCACAUGCAAAAUACACUAUACCUAAUACUUAUACUAUACCUAAUACUUAUACUAUACAUAAUACUGCCCUUCUCUAUAUGCCUUAAUCGCACAUUUAUUAUUGCCCUUUGUAUUGCAUUUGCCUUCAUAAAUACUUGUAAUACUUGUAAAGACUACAUUUUCUGCCCUCUAUUUGAACUUCUGGUUAGAUGCUUACUGCAUUUCAUUGUACUGUACUUGUACUGUUCAAUGACAAUAAAGUUGAAUCUUAUCUAAUUCCUUUUCCCUCUAUGAUAUAGAAAGGUUAUUCAACCUCUAAGCUUUGUAUGUCAGCUUAGUAUAUAUUGUGAUCUAACUAUGGAUGCAGUCAAAAUAGAUCUGAACCAUAGAUUACUUUCCAGAUGAGGAUCCAAAAUGAGGUUUUAAAACAGUCAACACCCCCUUUAACUGUAUGAAAACAUACUUACUGUCUGGCCCAGAGAAACAGCCAACUUAUUUUUGCUAUAUUGAUCACUGUCCAAAUGAGAUAGAAAGAUGGAGGGUGAAUCUCAGGGUUGCAGGAAACUGGACCAGACACAUUCC
ensembl:lncRNA